GCAGUGGGUGCGGUUGCGGUUGCG
rnacentral:siRNA from 1 species